UAAUCCAUUUACAAGCAUCACUUUGUAACUUCCUCCGGUCACUCCCACCAAUUUAGCUUCCAUUAUCUCACGAACAUCAAUUCAAAUUCUUCACCGUAGACUUCUAACUGAACCAUCUUCUGUUUUCGUCCCACGAUAAACAAUUUUCAUGGAUGCAUCUGAUGCUCAUUGAUCUUCUCUCCAAUAACAAUCCGUCAUAUAAAUACUUCUCAAAAAUCAUUACUGAUAUUUUGGAGAUGGAUGGAACUGGAAUGUAAAAUCAACUCCUCUUGAAUCUUAGUCUGUCAACAUGGAUGCCUUUGUUUUGAUAUGAAGUAGUGCACGACAACAGUUGGUGACAACCCCCUAUGUGAAUUCUAAGGCAACGAGUGGUAGUCAUGGUGGUGGAAGUAGCAAAUCAAGCCAGUACUGGUCUCCAAAGUUACAUAGGUAUUUCUUGGUAGCACUUGAAGAGCUUGGUGGUGCUUAUGGUACGUCUCGAACUAAUUUAUCUUUAGUACUGUUUGUCCCGCAAACUUGAAUUAACUGGGUUUUUUUUAUUCCAUAUGGUACUCACUCUCCAUCAUCAGGCCAGAAAGUUAUUAAAUGCCAGGCCUUCAGUGAUCAGCCCACUGUUGAACAACGUUCCAGAACAAGUUCAGUCAGUCAACAAUGUUCCGGUCAGUGCUCCACCGAUU